rnacentral:lncRNA from 1 species
UAUUUGAUAUAUUUUUUCUUAAUAUUAAAAGUCUUCUUGGAAGAUGUCAGAAUGUUUCAAAAAUGAGAAAAAAAUUGAAAAUGAACAAAAGAAAGAAAAAAUUUUACCAAUAGUAAACCAGAUAAAUAUUUUGUUUGUUGGCACUAAGUUGCAUAAAUAUAUUCUUGCUUCCUAAAUGGCUUAAAAAUCUGUCUAAGGAAAAACAGGGAAGACCAACAAAAAGUUACACUCUGCCCCUCUUCCUGUUUUAUCUAUCUUCCUCUCUGCUUCCCUCAUCCAAAGCUGCAUCAUUCUUAUAUUUUAUUUGUGUACUUUUUCUUAUCACUCAGGGUCAGGGACAUUUUCCUCACCCUUCUGAUGAAUAUGGAAACAUUGAGAGUCUGAAGGAGGUAGAGAGAUUGCAUCUGUGGAAGUCAUUUGGAUCAACUGAUGAUACUCUCAACUUGACAAUACUGAAUGGAAGGAAAAACAUCAAGUAUGUUUCUCUUUUGAAGAUUCACCUACUACAUCAACACAAAUAUGGUCAGAGGGGAUGGAAGUGACCCACCAAAGCAUGGGGGCUUUAGCAUGGCAACUAGAGUGGGUUCAAUUCCCAUGACUUCAAAAUAUGAUAAACAGAGCCAAUCCUCUCUUUAGGCAGACCUAUCAAACCAUAUGUUAGCCAGAACUCUUCUGUAGACAGGGAUGUGUGAAUUUCACGUAUGCUAAGUGUACUGUUUAGGGAACUAUAAUAACGGGAUCGGUUUGGUAAUUGGAAUAAUUUAUUUCACUGUUAAACAUAUGCUGGGCCUAGCCCAAGAGAUCAUGUCACUGGAUUAUUGUGGAGAAUGGAAUGCAAUGAAACUAUUUAGCAAACAUUUUUAAGCUAAUGCUUAAUUAAAAGCACUUGUGAUGAGCCUUAUUACUGGUAUUUGUCCUUGGAUUGACUUGCUCUUGCAGUUCUAACCAAGUAGCCCAAAUAAGUGGUGUAAAUAUAUAUUUGUGCCGAACACAAAGAAAGAUAUAGAGAAAGGGCCGUAAGCAUUGAUACAUGGGCUAAAUGUCGUUCACUUAUUGAUUUUAUAAAUUAAGUUUUAUUAAGCUGCACUCAUUUGCUUAUGUUUAAAUGUACUUUCACACUAAACAGCACAGUUGAAUAUUUCCAAUAGAGAUAUUCUGGUAUGAAAAGUCUGAAAUAUUUAGUAUCAGGCCCUUUUUAGAAAGUC